rnacentral:rRNA from 1 species
CGGCGAAGGGUGAGUAACACGUGACCAACGUACCCCUCAGAUCGGGAUAACCACUGGAAACGGUGGAUAAUACUGAAUGGUCCUAGGAAGGACAUCCUUCCGAAGGUAAACGGCGGCUUCGGCUGCUGUUGAGGGAGCGGGUUGCGUCCUAUCAGCUUGUUGGUGAGGUAACGGCUCACCAAGGCUAUGACGGGUAGCGGGUCUGAGAGGAUGAUCCGCCACACUGGGACUGAGACACUGCCCAGACUCCUACGGGAGGCUGCAGUCGAGAAUCUUCCACAAUGGGCGAAAGCCUGAUGGAGCGACGCUGCGUGUAGGAUGAAGGCCUUAGGGUUGUAAACUACUGUCACGCUAUAGGAACCCAUGUAGGUUAAUAGCCUGCGCGCUGACCAAAGCGAGAGGAAGUGCCGGCUAACUCCGUGCCAGCAGCCGCGGUAAGACGGAGGGCGCAAGCGUUGUUCGGAAUCACUGGGCAUAAAGGGCGCGUAGGCGGCCAGUUCAGUCGGAUGUGAAAUCCCCCGGCCCAACCGGGGAACUGCAUUCGAUACUGACUGGCUAGAGGAUGGUAGGAGCCAAUGGAACUCCAGGUGGAACGGUGAAAUGUGUAGAUAUCUGGAGGAACACCGGUGGCGAAAGCGAUUGGCUGGGCCAUUUCUGACGCUGAGGCGCGAAAGCUAGGGGAGCGAACGGGAUUAGAUACCCCGGUAGUCCUAGCCGUAAA